AUUGAACGCUGGCGGCAUGCCUUACACAUGCAAGUCGAACGGUAACAGGUCUUCGGAUGCUGACGAGUGGCGAACGGGUGCGUAAUACAUCGGAACGUGCCUAGUAGUGGGGGAUAACUACCCGAAAGAGUGGCUAAUACCGAAUGAGAUCUACGGAUGAAAGCAGGGGAUCGCAAGACCUUUUGCUACUAGACCGGCCGAUGGCAGAUUAGGUAGUUGGCGGGAUAAAAGCUUACCAAGCCGACGAUCUGGAGCUGGUCUGGGAGGCCGAUCAGCAACACUGGGACUGAGACACGGCCCAGACUCCUACGGGAGGCAGCAGUUGGGAAUUUUGGACAAUGGGCGAAAGCCUGAUCCAGCAAUGCCGCGUGCAGGAUGAAGGCCUUCGGGUUGUAAACUGCUUUUGUACGGAACGAAAAGCCCCGGGUUAAUACCCUGGGGUCAUGACGGUACCGUAAGAAUAAGCACCGGCUAACUACGUGCCAGCCGCCGCCGUAA
rnacentral:rRNA from 1 species